rnacentral:lncRNA from 1 species
CAAUUUAUACUGUUAAAUAUAAUUUAGAGAAUCAAUAACUUUGAUCAUGAAUUGAAGAACCCUAUAAACUAUUUCUGCGGAUCGUUCGAUUUAAUCGUUCAUUUUAUAUCCGCUCGCUACACUUUAUUUUAGUUUCAAAAUUUUAUGAAAUUUGAUUUCUGAGCAUUUCAUUUUCUAAAUUAUAUUUAACGAUAUAGAUUAUCGAUUCGAAAACUCUAUCAUAAAAAACGACUUAUAAAUAUCAAAACCUCUAUACUCUAUGUCUCUGUAUAUAUAUAAGGUGACUUUAUGGUUGUUAGGUUUAAAUUAGUAUAUAUGUACACGAUUGUGUACUAAUAAUCAUUAAAAAAUAUAUCUUUGAUUUCAAUGAAUUAAAAAUGGGAUGUAUAUAAUAAAUUACUUUAAUAAACUUAUAGUUAUGAGAAUUGCAAAAAAUAUAUUAACUAAAUUUAUAAAAAUAAACGACGGAUUUAAAUUUUAGAGUCAGAGUUUUGUCGACUGACUCAGAUCGAACAAAUUGAAACACUGCAUAGUAAAAUUAAAAUUUUAAAAAAUUAAAUAGCCAAAUAUAAAUAGUCCAUAGUUCAGAUAAAUUUUAUAUAUAUUUUACCUUAAAUAAUUUCUCUAUAUUUGUAGUACAAAAAAGUAAAAAUGGAGAGGUCAAUUUCAAAAUGGCAUAUAGUGGAGGAGAUCUCCAUACAUUUAAACUUGCAAUGAGAUGUACAAAUAGUACUUUUUUAUUUAUUAUUUCUCAUGGAAUCAUUGAGCAUAAAAUAUUAUAAAAAUGAAUGGUAGAUCAUUAGGCCAAGAAAUAAAAUAAAACCUUGGGAGCAUCUAGAAGCUAUCUCAUGGAAUGAUGUGACAUUCAAUCAAUAAAAGAUACCACAAUAUAAAUGAGUGUGUCCCCACUUGUCCACUUGUCCCUCUAUCCCAAAAAUAGGUGGUAAUAAGAAAAGCGCACUUAUUAUUUCUAAAUGAAAUAAACGAAGCAGAUAGCGUGCUAUCUAUCUCUUAAAAAAAAAAAAAAGCGCACUUAUCGUAGUUAAAAGCUCAGUUACAACGCUCACAAAUUUUGAUCUGAUUAAAUUUAUCUGAGCGUUAUAUCUAUUAUUAAAUUUUUUACCGUUGGAUUUAUUAUGAACCGUAAUUCUACUCAACUUAUUAGUUCUCUCUCCUUAUCAUCAUGAAAAAAGAAAUUGAAACUAUUUUAAUCAAUAAUAAAUUACCAAUAAUUUUUUAACUUUUUUAUU